UAACCUUUUCGAAAGUCUACCAGUCGCGAUUAAGUGCUUUGUUAACUAAAACUAGAAUAUUAAAUAUUGCACUGGUCCCGACUAAUAGAAGUGCGAGAACA
rnacentral:pre_miRNA from 1 species